CACUGUCUGUCUGCCUGUCGUUAACACUUGCCUCUUGGAGAAGGCAGUGUUGGAGCAGAUCCUCCGUGGGAGUUUGGCAGAGGGCCCUACAAGGAGCCCCUUCAUCCAAGGACUGUCUCCUGGGCUCUGGCCCACCGAAGGAAUGACUUCGUCUUUCCUCAUCAACUACUCCCAGCGAUGCCCGCAAUGACUGAAAGAGGAAGAGAACGGAAGGAUGACGGCGAAGAGUGACAGCCGGAAGGCUGGCGCAACAGUGACAUGGGCGGGGCUUCGGGGUGUUCCCACGCGGCCGCCGGGGGCGUCCCCUCUCAGCAGACGCGGCUCUGUCGCUGCUGUUUGCUCUACCUGACACGGUGGAGGCUCAGGAAUUUCCCAUUUACCACCCAAAAAAGGCAAAAGGAAAAACUGACAGGCGAAGCAAGCCAUCGGAGGAUGAAAAGGGGGCAGAGCCACCCUGGCCGCUCUGCCGCCCCCCCGCCCCCGCCCCGGAAAUGGUCAUCAGGUGACCAGAUCCCAGUAUUUUGCCACCAGCACCUGGACCAACUCGCAUGACCAAAAGGCCCCAGGGCAGUAUUCUUUCAUCUUUAGUGAUGUCUGUGCUUUAAAACCACUUGAUAAAAGUAGAAAGAGGCUUUCUGUGCUUAAAUUCUUAUUAAAAUUUCUAAUAAAGCAUUUUGCUAUCCUUUUA